rnacentral:lncRNA from 1 species
AUGUAGGUUAGGAAACUGUAUCACAGCCAUGGGUUUAAGCACUGGAGGAACCAGAGGUGGUGAUUCACUGAAUUAGAAUUCCCCUAACCAGCUGCAGUAUAAAAAUCCCUGAAGAAGUGUGUGCUGACUUGAUCAGAGGCACAAAGGAAAAGAAUCUCAAAGUGAAAGGACCAGUUGGGAUGCCUACCAAGACUUUGAGAAUCACUACAAGAAAAACGCCUGUGGUAAAGGUUCUAAGACAUGGAAUCACUCCCAGAAGAGCAUCCGCAAGCAGUUUAUUGACUUGCACAGUCCUUCUGAGAUUGUUAAAUAGAUUUAUUCGGUCAGUAUUGAGCCAAGAGUUGAGGUUGAAGUCACCAUUGCAGAU